ensembl:lncRNA
GAAGAAGGAGGAUUGUGUAGGGCAAGAUUCAGGUGUCACACUUUGUUACAUGAAGUCAAGUGCUGCCUACACUAAAUGACCAUAUUUGCUUUCACAGAGAGAAACAAAACUAUGAAGGUAACCUGAAUAGGCUUAAGAGAAAGGAGUCCCUACUGCUUACUUCUAUCUCUGCAGGGAGCCCAGGUGUCCCAGGGGACUUUAGGAUCAUUGCUAGCCAGUGAAAUGAGAAAAAUAAGGUGAAAUGAAGACUUCUAAUUACAGACACUGCUUGCAAAGCUCAUUGCUCUGUAGUUCAUAAGUGCACUUUAGGAGCAAUCUCAGAGAAGGACUUUGGCUUUGAAAGUAGUCUCAGAUUGUCAUCCAAACCACACCUACUCUCUUCUUGAUCCAAGGGAAGCAUAAACCCCCUGGAUAUGUAAGCUUUUACCCUGAAAACAUACCCUAGGGAAUCCUCAAUUUGAAAGUGAGUGGCUAACUAAUUAAUCCCAGCAAGAUCCAGGAAUUAGGCAAAGUUAAGCCUCUGAAUCUGUUAAGUACAAGUUGAACAAUCUUCAGUGUCUUCAGGAUCAACACAUGGCCUUGCUUCUGUCUGUUUUGAAAAGGAAAACAACUCUAGAUAUAACCAAAUGGUGAGAUUUCCCAAGUUCCAGGCUAUCAGCAUUGAAAAGAGUAUGAAAUAAGAUACCUCAAUUACUCUAAGCUUUUCUUUAUGGUCUCCAAUUCUAGAUUUUGAGUCUACCUGGAGAAAUACUUUGAGAAUUGUCGUUCUGCAGCUGGAGCAACUUAACUCUGUUUUGAAUUUUAGGUGCUAAGGAUCUUCAGAGUUAGAUCCACUGAGAUAUUUAGACCCACAGAUAUUUUGGCACCCAACUUCUGUUUGUCCCACCACCUGCAUCAACAGAGUUUAAAGUCAACUUGGGUGUAAAGAGCAUCAGAAAAUGAAAGUACCAAACAAUCUCUGCCUUUAGAGAGAGAGAAGGCAGUUGUUAUCUAAAAAUUUCCUCCACAUUAGGUUCUUAUUAUCUUUCCUUUUGCACCAUCAACUGUUCCAUGCAAUUGUGCUUGGAAUCAUUCAACUGAAAAGAAAGGCUCCCCUGUCCAUCUUCCUGGCAAACGUGUUCAAAGGUACCUCCUUUUUUCAUUCCCUUUCUCAGAUCUGGCUGGUGAAGCUUAUCAAACAGAGCGUUAACAGCAUAGCCUCUCUAAGUCUCCGAAGUCUGACCCCAAAUACAGAGAUCACUGAAUCUGUUGCGGGUUAGCAUAUGGCACUUGUUUGAGAACAUUGUUAGUGAAAGACUGAAUCCGGCAGCCUGACAGAUCCAAGUCUGCUGUAGCUAGCUCUAUGCCCUAUAAUCAACCACUACUGAUGCUGGGCAUAUACUGCCUAUAGAUACACACACACAGGCACUCAUAUGCAGCAUAUAUGCAUUUAUAAAUGCACAUACACAUCCACAUUGGUCACAGGUAGACACACAGAGCACUCAUACAAACAGCCUGUAGAAACCACUUCAUCCUGUCCUCUACCUGGCUGAUAAGAGUGAAAGUCUGUCAAUGCAAAAUAUAUAUAUAUAUAUAUGUGUGUGUGUAUAUAUAUAUAUAUAAUAUGUACAUAUAUAUAUAUACAUAUGUAUAAUAAGUAUGCAUGCAUACAAGGGCUGCUCCAUAAGUAAUAGCUCUUAUUUCAUUAUGUUGGCCCACGAUGUCAGAGGUGGAUGUUGGUGGUAUCACACUGGGGGCUGAUCCUUCCCAUCAAUAUUCCACUACACUUUGUUGCUGUGUGAAAAGCUGCAUAUUCAUUGAAGUUUUCUGAAGGUUUAUGGAGACCAACCAGUGGAUGUCAGCAUGGUAAGGAGGUUUGCGGUGUGUUUCAGCAGUGGAAACAGUGACAGUGGGUCAGCUCAGGUGCUGCAGAUUUUUGUUAGUGCAGCAUGCAAGCUCUUGUUCAUUGCUUGUGAAAAUGCAGAGCUAAUGGUGGUGUCUAAGUUGAAAAAUAGUGUUUUGUAUCUGAGAAUCUGCUCUAUCAAAUAGCAUGUUUGUGCUCUUUGAACCUGAUGUAGUUUCCAUGGAAAUAAACAGGAGGCAUUAUUUUUGGAGCAACCUAUGUAUUUGCAGGCACACGUGUAUAAAAUAUAGAUCCACUAGUAGCUAGGCUCAAAACUUCAGUGUGCCCAGUGGCUGCUCCUGGGUCCCAGUCUUACUAGUUGCAGGCAAAACCUAAAGGGUUAAGUAAUCUGAAUGAAUGGGGAUUUUGGCUCCUCAGGUUAUUUUGGUUCCCCCCCACUGCUAGGCUCUCUGCUCCUCUGUGUGCAUGGAGAUGAGCCUUUUAUCUCACAAGCUGACAAAUAUCUGCUUUCUGUGAGAUUUUUUGUUGCCUGCCUAGAUCCUGCUCUGUCUCUGAGGCGCAUAAGCUCUGUCAUGCUCAUUACAUGAAGAGCAUCAGGAAACUUGUCCCCUCAAGCUACUGAUGACACAUUCACUUUGCACCUUCACAGAGAGAGAAAGGGGAGAUCUGCCUUUUGAAGCAGAAAAAGCAACUGCUGCAAACCUGCAGUGUGUUUAAUGGAAGAGGACGUCUGGUUUCCAUGUAACGCUAAUAAAGUAUUCAGUACACUGGCAGGUGGAGCCUGGAAUGGAUGUGGGUGGUGAGGGUUGUGGGAAGCAGAGAGGAGACAGAGGGGUGUUAGAGGAUGGCCAGCUUGUGAUAGCAGGGAAAUCAAAGCCUUGUAAAGAGGAAAAUAUUUUAAAUGUUAUUUCAGUGUUUCAUCAAAAAAGAUUUUGCAAAGCUAUUUGUGACUGACUCUUUGGAGAUCUUGGUAUAAGGUUAUACUUAUACAUGUUUAAAGCAAUUCCAAGAUUUAUCCAUUUAGAAGAAAAACUGUAAAACUUAAAAAAAAAAUGAAAAAGAAAAAAUGUAUUUUCUCCUUGUCUUCAUAAAAGAAGGCAGAAGAAAAAAAAAACAAAAAACAGAGCAAGCAAAUAACCUUUUUUUUUUUUUUUUCCUCCCUGAAAAUAACCCUAGAAACACCCAGCACAGCAUAAAAAAUCAUCAAAUGCUUUUGAACUAAAAGCCAUUCUUUUCUUGGGAAAACAUGUAUAGACAAAAAUACCCAAGCUGCCAAACUGAUAAAUACAAUUGACCUGCUGUGAUGUUAACUUAGAGCUCAUCGAUUUCAUUUCUGAUGUGCCACAGGAACAUUCAUUUGCACUGAGUGCUAGCUAAGACCUUUUCAUUAGUGCUGCAGCAGCUGGAUUGUAGAUUUGGUCAAUGCGGAUGGGUAUGGAAUGACUUGGGCUCUUCUACCCCAGCUUUUGUCUGGCCAGAUGUGAGCUUAUGACAAUAGGCUGUUCCUGUGAAAGGCCAGGCAUGGUAGCCCAGGUGCAGUGCUGGAGUAGAGCUGGGGUCAAGCUUUGUGUUAUGAUUGGAUACUGAAAAAAAAGAAAUAGGUAAUUUGAGUUAAACCUGGUUAUUUACUCAAAACAAGUUCUCAUAAAGCCAUUUUCGAGAUUGUAUCAGAGCAUCUUCCAGUAAUGAAUUAUUCAGUUUAAUCAAUUUUUCACUCUCUCCUGCAUGAUUAGGAAACUGGGAUCUGGGACACAAAAUUGAGAGUGAUCCAUGGAGCAUCUCUAACUUUGAUAAGACCAGCCCUACUGGGAAUUUUCUUCAUUUAAAAACUGGGAGAUAAAGGGAUUGAGGCCGAUGCUGCUGUAGCUGAAAAGGGCGUCUCAUUCCAUACAGUUCAUAGAGACGCUGAGUCCAUUCCAUCCAUUCCAUAUGUCCUACAUCUCUGUGCUGGCAGUGAGAUAGUGAGGUCUGGGAAUGGGGAAUACUGGGAAUACUACUCUUCUCUUCUCUUCUCUUCUCUUCUCUUCUCUUCUCUUCUCUUCUCUUCUCUUCUCUUCUCUUCUCUUCUCUUCUCUUCUCUUCUCUUCUCUUCUCUUCUCUUCUCUUCUCUCUUCUUUUACUUUAUUUUCUUUCUCCUCCCCAGAUAAAAUUGUCUACCUGCAAAAUGAAUCAUCUGAAUUUAGGUUUUCCUUUAAAGUUUUAUGGGCUGCAUAUUUGCUCCCCAUCCUUUCUUUAAUUUUGCUAGUGAGGAGCCUGUCUGUACCAUGCAACUCACAACUGCCUGGGAGACCUGUGACAAGUAAAUUUCAGUCUCUCAGUAGAGCUGGUAUUCUUAGAGCUGCAGGAGCAGUCAUCAUGAAGGGGAAAGCUGUGAACGCCAAUAAAUUAUUGAAGAAAGCAGGAGAAAUAUUUCCUUCUGUUGACACAUUGGCAUUCACCUUUGGGAAUGUAAUCAUGGGAAAGGUAGGCAAUCUUUUGUCAUAGAGAUCUUUUGCUCGGAGAAUUCAGUCUUUUUAAAACCUUAGGAGGGAGCCUGCAAGCCCUCAACAUGGAAGGGGUAUUCAAGUUAUAGGAUGUCUUCAGGCAGACAAGUUUCUCAGAAAUGACAGUGAAACUGAAUUAAGUCUGCAACACAUUAAAAUUACUUGGUGAUAAAAAGGGAGGUUAGUGAGGUAGAGAGUAAACCCCUCCAGCUCCCUGACACCCCGGGACAGUUUCCAAUCAGGAGGGGGAUUGUUUUCUACGAACAAAACAAGACAGCAUUAGUACAAGACAGAGCAUAAACAUGGCAAAAUUUAGAGUUCAGAGAAGAACAGAAGAUGGAAGCCAACCUCUUGGUGUAAGGCAGAGGAAACAGCAAGGACAUGCCUACAAGAUCAACAUUUCCUUUUGGGUUGUGACAUGGGGGAAGGACUGGGGCAGUUCUUGAGAGCUGGGGUGGUGCAGGAGUGGUUUCUUCUAGCCUGAAAAUCUGAUUCUACCUCUUUCUUCCAUCACUGAAACAAAGGAACCUACCCAGGCCUGUGAACAUAGAUUUGUCUGUCUGAAUUUCAAAUUUUGCUUGGAAAGCCAUCAAAUUAGCACUGAUGUUUUAUUCCAACAUCAGAAACGGCAGGGAAAAAUACCCAGGAGCUCGUUGGAUUUAAAUCCACAGAAUCAUCUCCAGUUUUGUUUAGACGAGAUGAGUGAAUAACCCCCCUUCUCAGCAUCAUAUUUGGCUCAAAUCACCAAUUUACUGGUUUACAAAAAUCUAAAACUGCCCCUCCGGCAAAUUAAGGGAUUACGUCAAUCACUCAAGUCCAUUCUACCUGACAACAGCACGCAGCAACAGGGCAAAAGGUUUGAUGCUCUGCUGGAAUGUGAUAAGGAGAAAAUGCCAAAUGACACAUAGGCAAAGUUAUUACCAGCGAGAUGAAGACAAACUGGAGGGAGUUCAGAGAAGUGCAACAAAAAUGAUUAGAGAGCUGGAGGGGUUGAUUUAGAAGGAAAGUUUACAAGAACAACUGGCAAUAUGCACAGCAGGGCUGAGCAACAUCUGAGGGGGGAGAGAGAGCCAGUUGCAAACAUCUGAACAGUGCAAACACCCAGGGAGGAACACAAUUACCCAAGGGGGAAAUAACUAAGAUAAUAGGUUGAAAUUAGGAGAAAGAGAUAAACAUCAAAAUAACUUCUCAGUGAAAAGACUGUGGAAUAACCUACUAUGGGAAGACAUGGAAGUCCAAGCCAAGCAGGCUAUAAAUUCCUUCCCACAGCCCCUGCAGAUACAAAAGUCAGCUACAGAUAACUUUGAAAACAAUUUCUAAGCAACAAAUGUCAGAACUUCUGCAAGAAACCAGGUGUGAGAAGGUGUUUAGAACUGAUGAUUUCCAGAUAACUCUACUAGUUUUCUUGCUGUUCAAAUGCACAAUGGGGAGGAGUUUGAAAAGGCUCUUGCUUUCUGUUUCCUGGGUGAAAUGACUGCACUGGAAACCUCCAAAAGUGCAGUUGUGGCAAUCAAGACAUUGCCCACUCAUCGACAAAUAGUUUUCCAGUUGAGAUAGUUGGUUUAAAUCUCCCUCAGGUUUGGAGUGACUGGAAAUCAACACCAGAUAAUGGCUGUUUGGUAGUAGAUGUGACAUGAGUUAAUGCACUCACUUGAAUUUCUAGUGGAUAUUGGACAUGUGCUCACAUUACAAAUGCUUUGAACAGCAUGAUCAGCAUUAAAUUAACAUCUACACUGACAAUCUUGCCAAAGAAAUCCAGAAGGAGAUGGACAUUAGUAAUGAACUGCACGUUCACCUUUGGAGUGAAGUCAUUAGCAAGGUAAACUUUACCUCAUGGGCUCUGAACCUCGUCUCCUCUACUGUAUUUCCUAACUCCUGGAUGGGAUGUCAAUUUGCAAAGCAGAUUAUUUAGCAUAUUUCCUCAGCAUACAAGAAACUGCUACCAUUAAAGAAAAUUUACAUUACAGAACGGUUGUUUAUUAGACAUUAUCAUUAAUUAAUAAGUAUUUUUAGCUGCUUCUUGACAAGGAAGGUGCAUGGCAUGCAUGUGACACAAUUCAUCUGGUUUUAUAGAAGGUAGUAAUAGCUGCAAUGAGUAUAGAAGUAGCACAGGACUCUCUUGCAGAGUGGUAUUUGAAGGUCUGGCUAAGCAAAGCCACUUAGGCCAUUUCUAGUUUAUUGUUGUUACACUUUGGUAUGGCUUUCUAGUAAUUUAUAGGGGUGUUUGUUGAGUUCAUGAGCUCUUGAGACCUGCAUCCAAUAAAAUAGUGAUGUACUUUCUCUUGACUGAAGGCAGAAGCAUAUAUCAUUGCAUGCAGUGGGUCUGAUAUCAUUUUAUGCUGGAUGGGGAAAAAGGCUGUGAAGCUCUGUAGCUUAGUAAAAGAAAAGGAAAAGUAAAGAAAAAUGGCAAUAAAGGACAUCACUUUGUGCAGGGCACUAUUUUGUUUCUAGAUUCUUUAGCUUCAUACAUUAGCAAGCCGGGAAUUUGGUGGGUUAAUCCUACCCUUGACUGUAAGAUCCCAUAUUAGUUAACGAUCUCUUUCUGAACUUGAUAUAAAGCCACAUAAGUUAAUGAGCAGCUAUUAGACAAACCAUUAUUUAUAUACUUAUAUAUAUUCCCAUAAUUUUUCAUCUGUAUUUUAACUUUGCCAUGACAUAGGGUGCUAAUCCUUCAUGCUCUUGCAGUGUUAACAACAAUAUCUUUUCCCAUUUAAUUAAUAUUUUUAAAAGUUGCCUCAUCCUCCACCAUUAACAUCUUCCCCUCUAUCAAACAAUAAGUGAUAUGGAUCAGUCUUAGUCGAUUAGCUGUAAAGAAGAGGAAAAAUCACUAAGGCAGCAAGGCUUAUUCUUAAAGUAACUUCUCUCUUUCCACCUACUUGUCUAUUCUUAGACUACUGUAAACAUAAAAUGGUCAGGCAGCACAUAGAACAGUCCUAUCAUGUAGGAAAAAAAAAAAAAAUUGGUUCCUAGUGUGACUGUGCACCUUUGCAUAAAAUAAAUAAAUAAAAAUCUCUGUCAUGGAAAAGACAAAGGUAGCAUUGCUUUUACUGGUUUUCUCAGAAAUCUAACUUCCCUUCCCUUCCCUUCCCUUCCCUUCCCUUCCCUUCCCUUCCCUUCCCUCCCCUCCCCUUCCCUUCC